AUUGAACGCUGGCGGAAUGCUUUACACAUGCAAGUCGAGCGGCAGCGCGGCCUUCGGGCUGGCGGCGAGCGGCGAACGGGUGAGUAAUGCAUCGGAACAUGCCCAGUCGUGGGGGAUAACACUUCGAAAGAAGUGCUAAUACCGCAUACGUCCUGAGGGGGAAAGCGGGGGAUCGCAAGACCUAGCGCGAUUGGAGUGGCCGAUGUCAGAUUAGCUAGUUGGUGGGGUAAAGGCCUACCAAGGCGACGAUCUGUAGCUGGUCUGAGAGGAUGAUCAGCCACACUGGGACUGAGACACGGCCCAGACUCCUACGGGAGGCAGCAGUGGGGAAUUUUGGACAAAGGGGGCAAGCCUGAUCCAGCCAUUCCGCGUGAGUGAAGAAGGCCUUCGGGUUGUAAAGCUCUUUCGGCAGGAACGAAACGGUGGGCUCUAACAUAGUCCGCUAAUGACGGUACCUGAAGAAGAAGCACCGGCUAACUACGUG
rnacentral:rRNA from 1 species